rnacentral:tRNA from 1 species
GGUAAAAUGGCCGAAGCAGGUGAAGGGUUGUAGCCCCUUUCAUGAAGGUUAAAGUCCUUUUUUUACCA